CAAAGAGUAGUUUAAUAGAGAAUGCUGGCUUUGGGAGCGAGUGGUCGGGGUGCGAAUCCCUUCUCUUUGA
rnacentral:tRNA from 1 species